rnacentral:rRNA from 1 species
CCCUUAGAUGUCCUGGGCCGCACGCGCGUUACACUGAUGCAUUCAACGAGCUUAUAACCUUGGCCGAGAGGCCUGGGCAAUCUUGUUAACGUGCAUCGUGAUGGGGCUAGAUUCUUGCAAUUAUUAAUCUCCAACGAGGAAUUCCUAGUAAACGCAAGUCAUCAGCUUGCAUUGAUUACGUCCCUGCCCUUUGUACACACCGCCCGUCGCACCUACCGAUUGAAUGGUCCGGUGAAAUCUUGGGAUUUUGUUUUGUUUGCAUUUAUUUGUAUCGAGACGAGAGAACUUGAGUAAACCUUACCAUUUAGAGGAAGGUGAAGUCGUAACA